rnacentral:lncRNA from 1 species
GUGAAACAACUUUUUGAUUCAAAUUAGGAUUGAUUGGCAAAGAAAUUGAGUGAUAAAGAGUAGCCAAGAUUGAUUAUGCAGAGAAAUGAUAGAUAAAGUUAGAUGAAGAUGGUUCCUUCACCAUAAACUCAAUUAAUGGAAGCAAAAUGAUUCAUUCAUCAUAAACUCAAAUCAUGGAAGCAAAAUGAUACUUUCACCCCUUCACCAGUAAUCAAUAUUUUCACUGCCUUCAUGUUCUAAUUCAAAUCCUUCACCCCUUGAAUGGUUGCAUAGCUGAUCCAAAACCACCAAUUUCUUCAUGUCCAAAAGCAACUCUUGUUCGCAAUAGGAAUUUGCGAUUGAAACCUUACAAAUGACCCUUCACAACCCUUGUUCACUGGUA